CCUAGCUUGGCUAUUUGCCAUUUAAAUUUCAUUUAGCAGAACUUAGAUGGAAUUUAGUGAUCACCCUGGCAGUGCCACGGGUCUGGCUCUUAGGAAAUGUAACUAUCUAAAGAAAAAAUAUAAAUCAAAUCUGUUUUAUGAGCUUGAUCCUUCCUAUCAGAAGAAAAUAAAAUAAAAAUCACAAGCCCCUCUCUUGGAAAUGUACGUCAAACUGAGUGUUAUAACUUGCCUGCCCCUGUUUGCC